ensembl:lncRNA
GUUGGGAACCCCUAGUCUACCACACAGAACUAACAUCAUCGUUUUAUUCCAUAGGUCCUAGUGCAGACUUCAACAAGAGACCAAGGAGAAGAAGUUAAAGAUGGAGGUAUCAGCAGUCAAGCUUGGUCAGUAUAAGAGAGUCUGAAGGAGAUUGAACUCAGCAACUAGGAUUCACUAGAUUGUGACGCCAAGGCAAACCAAUUCAUUGGUGCCAAUUCUACCAUCCUCAAUUGGACGUGUGGGCCCAGAGAUUUUAAUCUUUGUCUUCCAUUGAUCAUUCAGGGGUCCCAAUGUCAUCCAGUUAAAUGGACAAAUUAAUUAAUGUAGGUCUGUCAAUCAUUCAGAUAAUUAUGGGGUUCAACUUAAAUACCUGUUGAUAGCAUGAAACUGAAUUUACAUUUAUUGUUAUUUGUUUCCAAAUAAUUACGGUCAGAAAUCAUCUGUUAUGUAAGCGAGGAAUACAUUUAACAAAAUGUAUGCCCAUCCUCAGAGUUGAAGUUAGAAAGAGAAGCAAACAGUAGGCAUGAAGAAGAAAAAGAAAAGCUAAAGGGAAAAUAUAGAGUUAAGAAGACAUUGAAGGAAUCUGAAGAGAAGAUAAAGGAGAAGGACUCAACUCUGGAGGAGAUGAAGAAGACAUUGAAUCUGAAGAGAAGAUAAAAGAGAAGGGCUCAACUCUGGGGGAGAUGAAGAAGACAGAAGAGAAGCAUCUAAAGGAAAAAGACAGAAAAGUAAACUUGCUCAACAGUUGAGCGAUUUGAAGUUUGAAAUGGAGAAACUGAAAACAAAAACCUCAGUCCUGAAGACCGGU